CCUACGGGAGGCAGCAGUGAGGAAUAUUGGUCAAUGGACGCAAGUCUGAACCAGCCAUGCCGCGUGCAGGAAGACGGCUCUAUGAGUUGUAAACUGCUUUUGUACGAGGGUAAACGCAGAUACGCGUAUCUGUCUGAAAGUAUCGUACGAAUAAGGCUCGGCUAACUGCGUGCCAGCAGCCGCGGUAAUACGGAGGAUUAAAGCGUUAUCCGGAUUUAUUGGGUGUAAAGGGUGCGUAGGCGGUCGGAUAAGUUAGAGGUUAAAUCCCGAGGCUUAACUUCGGAAUGGGCUCUGAUACUGUGCGGCUAGAGUGGAGUGGCGGUAGGCGGAAUGUAUGGUGUAGCGGUGAAAUGCUUAGAGAUCAGACAGAACACCGAUGGCGAAGGCAGCUUACCAAGCUACUUCUGACGUUGAGGCACGAAAGCGUGGGGAGCAAACAGGAUUAGAUACCCGGGUAGUC
rnacentral:rRNA from 1 species